AUUGAACGCUGGCGGCAUGCUUUACACAUGCAAGUCGAACGGCAGCGCGGGCUUCGGCCUGGCGGCGAGUGGCGAACGGGUGAGUAAUACAUCGGAACGUGCCCAGUAGUGGGGGAUAGCUCGGCGAAAGCCGGAUUAAUACCGCAUACGACCUGAGGGUGAAAGCGGGGGAUCUUCGGACCUCGCGCUAUUGGAGCGGCCGAUGGCAGAUUAGCUAGUUGGUGGGGUAAAGGCCUACCAAGGCGACGAUCUUUAGCUGGUCUGAGAGGACGACCAGCCACACUGGGACUGAGACACGGCCCAGACUCCUACGGUAGGCAGCAGUGGGGAAUUUUGGACAAUGGGCGAAAGCCUGAUCCAGCAAUGCCGCGUGUGUGAUGAAGGCCUUCGGGUUGUAAAGCACUUUUGGCGGGAACGAAAAGGACUGUGCCAAUACCACGGUUCGAUGACGGUACCCGCAGAAUGAGCACCGGCUAACUACGUG
rnacentral:rRNA from 1 species